AGCUCCUCCCGCCUCGCCGCCGCCUCCUCUUCCCUCCCGCGCGCCUCCUCUCCCCUCCCCUCCCCUCCCGCGCGGCUCCUCCCUCCCACCCACAUCGCCGCCGCUGCCACCCACCGCCUCGAACGGCACCGUCGGCGGCCAGAUCCGCCGCAGCAGAGCGCCCCUUCCCCCCCCCCACGACGACCAGCAGCAGAGGAGGGAGGACGAGGAGCAUGACGGCGGCGACGGGGAGCAGCAGUAGCAGGCGGAGGCGCUGUGCUCGCGGAGGCGCUGUAGAUCCCCGCCGAGCAGGCCGCGCUGGUGCUCGGGGUGCUCGGAGCCGUGCUCCCCGGCGACGACGAUGAACCCGCAACCGAAGGAGCUGGCGCCUCCCCGCCCCCAUCUAUCCACUCCGUCCAGCAGAUAGAGAGAGGGAUGAUGUGAAGGAGACCAGAUAGAGAGAGGGAUGAUGUGAAGGAGACGAGAGGAAGGAGAAGCCAUGCCCCGUCCACUGCGUCGUGCGCGACGACCGGCUGGGCUCUGUUUCAGCACCCCAAUCUUCCUACCUCUAUCCCCUUCUAAUUUCUCCAUCCCUUUCUUUCAGAUUUUUUGUGUGUACAUGCAUACAAGACGCUUGAUGAAAAUCCAAGCAGGUUGCAAGGGAAGGCAAAUUCCAUUUUAUGCUCAUGUGUAAUCAUUGAUUCUUUUUUCCUCACAUUUAGCAUGCAUUCAACUUUUACUUAUAUGUACAAUAUAUUACCUCUUUCAGUUAUAUGACUUGCACACACACAAUAUAUUGCAUCUGUAGGUCAUGUGACUUGCCUACAGAAGAUAUGAGUGUCCUCGGAAAAUAUAUUAUGCCGGAUCUACUAUGGUUGCCACAUUAUGCAAGUCAGCAUUUAGUGAUCUAAAAGUUUAGACCAUGGCAUUAUGUUCAAUGCUCAGCAAAUCCACCCUUGCAGUUGCUUCUGACUAGCGACUGGUGGCGCUGGAUGUGCUUGCUUCCUUUGUCGUGCAACUUCUUGACUCAACCCGACCGUGUUACAAGUUUCUCUCCCCCUCCCUCUCUCUUGACCCCUAUUAUUUUCCGGAUUGGAAGUGGCCUAAAGAAUAUGAAGUCACUUGGAACUAGCAUUCACACAUGUUUUCUCUCUCAGAUUUUGAAGGUUGAUUCUCUCCAUAAUCUUUACCUUUGAUGACAUUUCCUUUUCUGGGUAUUUUACUUUGUCAUGUGCAUUGCGACCUGGAGACCUUUAUCUGCAACAUAGUGAUAGGGAGGUGUUGCAUAUGGUGACUUCCAGUCUGAUGUGUACAUCGAUCUCCUUUUUGAAUACCAAAAUAGUUGGCUGUAAUUAAAAAAAUGCUUACUUUCUUGGCUGUAAUUUAUUUGCCAAACUUACUUUUUUGGCCGUAAUCUAUUUGUCAUUUGUAACAGCCAAUUCACAUGCAAAAAAAUGCUUUGAAGAUUUUUAUUGACAUUUUAUUAAAGUAGUUUUCAAAUGCAACCUCACCUAUUUUCCAUUUCUAUUGUUUCUACUAGGUUUAAACUAAAAGGAGAAAGAGCUAAAAAAGUCCUUUAUCUUUAUAGUAUUUUAUGUUGAAGGGGCUAUGUAGUAUUUAUCCAUAUUUUCCCUCCUUCGGAUGUGAUGUGGAUGAUGUCUUGGGAUCCGGACAUCGUCUUCUCUCUGCUGGCCCUGCCAUCGUUCCUUAGUCCGGUGUCGCCAUAUUUUUUGGUUCUUGGUUUCUUGUUGCCACAUGGUACUGGACUUAUGCUUCCAAGGGCUAGGAUCUGGUGUGGUUGCUUCUUUCUAGGAUGUUCGUCGUCGACCUGGGACAUGUACUUUACUGCUUUCUUAUCUUUGGUGUGAAGAUCCAUUGGUAAAGUUUAUUUGAGGAAACUGUACCGUUCCAUGGACCCAUUAUUUCGGCGAGCCGGUCCUAUUAUUGCACUGAAGAGGCCAUCUCUUAGCAUUGAACCACAAGUUCAUGUUCGCAAGCUGAAACAUGAACUUGAACCACAUGCUCGCAAGCUCGGUUUUUAUCCGACGGCCGAGGGCGUUCCGGAGGGGGAUCGGGCGGCCGAAAAUGCAUCAAGGAGCCGAUUCGACAGCCAGGAGGCUCAAAUCGCUGAGGAGCCGUGUGAGGGGUGCCACUUGGCUGGCAGCAGGAAGUACGCCAUCAACAUCAUCGAGAUCCGCUUGAAGGACAACACCAUGGAAGAUGCUCAAUGACCAGAUCGUCGUCCUCUCCGAGAGGAGGGGCCAGCUCAAGCAGGUUGCCGCUGGAACUAGAUGGGGUCUCCAGCCAGCCUGCCAUGUGGCUUGCAGUAGCGGUUGAUGCAAGUUAUCCUUACAUACGUAUAAGGGUCUUAGUACUUACUUAGUAUGACAAAGUGAAUAUAGAACUGAUGUAUUGAAUUAUUAAUGGGGUGGUUUCGAUGAGAACUGAAACCUUUCGCUUUCAAGGUUGGACACUGAUAUGAACUGUGAGUAUUUAAUAGAGAAAUUCAGUUCAUGUGGAUCAAAACGAAGGCAUGUAGUACCUUACAUGGACAGUGAUUAUUUGCCCAUUGUGGUACUUCAAAUUUGAUGAAGAAUUUAUUUCAUGACCGAGACAUGGGACUUGGAGAAUCUCAGUUCUGACAUGUAUAUUAAUCACCUUUAUUUUUUCAUGGUAAUGGUACUGAAUGUUCUGA